GAAAAGGUAAAUGAGUGAAAAAUGGAAAGGAGAAAAAAGGGAGGGGAGAGUGAGAGAGCUCCCCGAGAGCUGUGUCCGACUCGUAUGAAGGCCUCGCUGCCUCUCAGCCCCAUUCAACCAAUGCCGCCACUUGUCACAUCAAACGGCGUUGCCGUAGCGACAGCUCCACAUGUUGCUGAUGGUGAAAUGGUGGGGUGAGGGGUGGCAGUGAUGCCCUGGAUAGGCUGUCCAUGAGAGAGAGAGAGAGAGAGAGAGAGAGAGAGAGAGAAAACAGGCCCAAUGCAACAGGAGCAGGAGGGGGUACAACGAAUGGGGUGUAAGAAAAGUGCCACGGGCCCAAAAAAGGUUUGUAAGUAAUAUGGUUUGGCAAGGACAUAAAUCCUGAGCUUUCACAUCUGGAAUAAUCGCAGCACAGAAGAUAUAUGAGAAUGCAGAGACCACGGAGAAUAUGCGAAAUGAUUUAUAUCUGCGGAUGAUUUAUAGAAUAAUAAGUGUUUGGUGUGAUGAUGAAUAAAGUUUAUGAGUUUAUGUUCGUUACUUUAAAGCCUUAAAACAUAAUUUAGCAUACGAUGUCCCACAGAACAUACACGUCCGAGCACGCAUUUCCAAAAGUAUCGCCAUCAAUCUCAGCGGGAGCACCAAAAGGACACUGCUGUGUAUGUCGCCGUGGGAGGGAAAAACUUGAAUUCAUUAUAGAAAGCAAAGAAAGAGACUGACAAACGGAGAAAAGUGAGAAAAAACUGCCUGUGCAGAAAAGCAUUUGUCCCCCCGAUACAAGAGGGACAAAAACGGUCAGGUGCAAGCAGGUCUCAUUACCAAGGCAGGGAGAGAAAAUUAUAAGAUAAAGGAUAGGGACGCACACACGCACCCUCGCUCGCGCAUACGCCGUGCACUUCAGAGCAUAGAAAGUGUCACGCCCCACAAUGGCACAAGAAAGAAUAAUUAAAAAUAUGAGCAGCCGGAUGCAACAAAAGACAUUAUUCUGCAUUCAAGGGCCCGCAACAGCUGUACAAAGUGAAAAGGGAGCCGGCGAGGGAGAGCGCUACGCCUCAAUAUGCGCCGAGCACAAAAGCCACCCAAGAAAGUGGGGGAGAAAGGAACGGGGAGGGGUCAAAAACAGAGGCAACAAAAAGAGAAGGGCCCAAAGAAUGGCAACGAGGAGAAUGGCAUGAGACACAGAGAGAAAGAAUGAGUCAGGGAGAGAAAUGAGGCGCAGCGGGGGGGAAAUACGCUGAGGAUUUGAGACGGGACAACCGUACAGUAGGGACAGUUAAGAGAUGAACGGUGAAGAUUUCGGGGAAAAAAAAAACGUUUGGUUUGAAAUGCCCUCCUUGUUCGGCGCGGCGUUUAACGCCAAAGUGAUUCAUGAGAACGACGAAUUACAUCACGGACACACAGGAAGAAACAGAGAGAAACAGAAAGAGAGAGACGCUUACCUCCCCAACUCCAGUCUGGAUGAUUUUCAAACCCGUCUCUCCCUCUAGGAAAUUCUUCUCGGCUACUGCAACGGCAAAACACUGAGUUAACGGCCCGAGUCGGGGGCUUGUCACUCACCUGCUUUACUGGCCACAUCCUCAGCGCUGAGAUUGAGAGCGUUCUGUCUGAUCCUGAAU